ACACAACAUGGUGAGCGGUUUGUAGUUGGAUGAUUUAAGGCAAUCCGUCUUCAAAUAUGUGCCUGGUUUUUUGAGAAAGCGAACAUUAUUAAUGUUAAUGCAAUGGGUGCAUGGUUAAAACUCCUUUUGAUUCAGGCUUAUUUCCGCUAGGUGGCGGUAAUUCAUCUAAAAGUUGUUUGCCAGCCGCUUUGUAGAGAAAGGCGAAGAAAGCUCGAGCUGGUUUGAACCGAUUAGCCAUGUGGUUUAAAAUGAAAGAGGCACGCUGUACUGACAAAGCAGAUGCUACUGAUUACAAGAAACGUGCCUCGGGAUUAAGAAAAGUGUUACGUACCAUUCACGGCGGUUUGCGCUGAAUGGAGGAGGCGUCCCGUCGGUUUAAAUUGGAGUUCAAGGAAGCGAAAGGAAAAAUCCUGUGAAGAUUCAAAGGCUCGGCUCUGCAGAAUUGAACUGGAACGUCUUCGUCUCUAAAGGCAGAAGAUGGAAGAAGUAACUGUGGGAUGGGACGUUUUUAGCUCAACAAGUGUCCUUUUAUAACCUGGGUUAAAGAGUUUCAAUGCUGGUAAGCAUGAAGAGACUUUACUCCUGUUUUAAAAAGACAGAAUCAGAAGUUAAUAUUUUUAAAAUAGCUCAUACUAUUUAAAAUACCACAUCUUACAAGUUACGACAUUGGAAUUCUACUGAAUUAUUGGGAUGCUAUGGCAAAAAUAGCAUUUGAAAAGUAAGUUUUAUUACAUUUUGUUGCUCAGAUUUUAUUAAGAUGCUUUUUUUUUUGACUGAACAUAACAAUGUUGUUUUCUUUAAAUUUCUCAAAAAUUGAUGACUCUUUCAGCCAAACUCAAACCAAACCCUCAAUCAUGUCGGUAUCUUGUCGUAAGUAGUUUUUAGUAGUAGUAUUUUGAGUUGAAACUAUUGGACAAAGUAAUUAUUUCCCUUUUAAUAGUAUUGAUAAAGGAUGUUUUUUAUUGUUGUAACUCUAAAUCUUGUUGGAAAUUAACUUUUUCAGACUUCAUCAAUAUUUUCUUUCUUUUUGGUUUAGAGACUCCCUUUAUCUAAAAAUAAAUGAAAUAAGCUGUUACCGACUUGAUGUUCUCAACAUGCCUUUGUUUGUUUAAUUAUAACUGAAAUAAAACGAAAUAACUUCAUAAAUACAAA